rnacentral:lncRNA from 1 species
CCAAGUUGUAGGAAAAGGCUUUAGAAUUAUCUACCCAAUAGAAUAGCGUAUCUCAUCCAUCCAUCCAUCCACAGAUCCACUCCCAACUUUUUCUACAUAUUUGGGUUGGAAAGUGACCUUAUUUUGGCUUGCCUACCCCCAAAUACCAUUUGUUUGGAUAGACUUAACGUUCCAAAAGUCAUAUAUACACGCGUUUAAUAUAGUAAUUACAUACACAUACACGUAC